rnacentral:rRNA from 1 species
UACGGGGGGGGCAAGCGUUGUUCGGAAUUACUGGGCUUAAAGGGUGCGUAGGCGGCGCGGAAAGUUGGGUGUGAAAUCCCUCGGCUCAACCGAGGAACUGCGCCCAAUACUACCGUGCUUGAGGGAGAUAGAGGUGAGCGGAACUUAGGGUGGAGCGGUGAAAUGCGCAGAUAUCAGGAGGAACACCGGUGGCGAAGGCGGGUCUCUGGGCCGAUACUGACGCUGAGGAGCGAAAGCGUGGGGAGCAAACAGG